AAAGAGACGCAUCUCCAUCGCUUCGCUCUUGCUUGUUUAUUUGCCUUGCCCUCUGAUUAUGAUGACUGUGGCGGUUCUGAUGAAUCGAUAGAGAUGAAGAUGGUGAGGUUGUGGUAGCAGGUAAGUGAUUAUGAUUAUCUGACCUUGGUGGUGUUUUCCAUACUAUACAGAAAACCCUAGCUGUCGCCUCCGGCGAUGGCGGCUAGGGUUACUCCGAUGAAGCUCCGAAAUUUUAGAGUGAGACGGAUAGGUUUCAAUUGGUGAUCUCCGGUUGGAUAUUCUUCAAGACAGAGCAUUUGUCUCUACUGCAUGACGCUUAAUGGCGAGACAUAUGAGAGCCCUAAGUACUACACGACGCUCCAGCAGGCGGAGCAUUUAGCGGCUGAGGUGGCUCUGGAU
rnacentral:lncRNA from 1 species